rnacentral:lncRNA from 1 species
CAGUACAUUUAUUUUUUGACUUAAGAUUGAGAACAUUGUCGAAACAAACAGAAUGUAUAUGUUUUGGUUUGUUUGUAGGAAGGCUUCUUCAUACAACCUGAGCGGUUAAAUGUGCUGAUGUCCUCUUUGAAUAGUAAAGAUGGAAACUCAGUAACUGUGGAAGACCUGGCUGCUGGUAUUCAGGCCUGGAGCAGAAAGCAUCAGGAAAAUGAAGAGCAGCAAUCAAACCCAGGUUAUUGGAAUGCAGACUGUGAGAAAAGGAUUGGGUCGAGACAUUAUCUUCCAAUACAUGGAGGGGAGAAAGAUGACCAGAAGGGCAUGCAGGAUGUGGAGGUGUUAGCGAUCAUGCGGAGAGUUCUGGCAGCCUCCAAGACCUCCUGCCCUUCUUCUCUGGGUGGACCUAUGGGCAGAGAAGUGGAUCGUUUCAGGAGACUUUGUUUCAGAGAAUAUCUGAAAUCACUGGAGCAAUGCCAACGACAAGCGCUUAAUGUGAGCCAGGCCACACUACAGAAAGUCCUGUUGCACCCUGGUGACAUGAGCAUGUCUAGCAUCUUCAAAUUGGGAGGGAAAGGUCACUUCGGGACACCCAAAACUCAUCAAGCUGAAGGUGGCACAAAUAAGGGCCACAAAGAGAUGAAGAAGCAGCCGGUUUGCUGGGCGGACCCUAAUGCUUUCUGGCCUGGAAGGGAAGAUCAUGUGCGCUUGUUCCUGCCUGUAAAGACAAGCUCUCCUGCAAUGGUUUUAUUUCAGCGUAUCGAAACUACUGUUUUGCCAAGUCCUGGCCACUGGCCUGUAAAUCAUUUAGGAUACUCAACCUCUGGAGACAUAGAAGCUCGCAAAACGUACACCCUCUAGAAUAACUUGUACCAUAUUGAAUGUCUGUAUUAAAUAGGACAUUGUUGUUCUGACUUUCUAAAAAGCAAAUUUCCAUUACCAUUAGUUUGCAUGCACAAGCAUUAAAGUAAUAGGUGUGCUGAUAUUUUUAGCUGCACAGGUUUUGUCACUCAACAUAUUCUAUCUUAUCUGUGACAGAUUCAACUAAAACAGUCAUGUUUGAUUUAAUAAAUAUAUUAUUAUAAUAUUUCUCUCUAUACUUUUUUUACAGUAUGAAGUGUGAAUGUACAAAUAUCUUGUGUGUGUUGUGUGAAUAGAGCCCUGUUUCUGUAUUCCUGAUACCAGGGUAUUUGCAUUAGGAAGUAUAAAGCAGAGUGACUAGUUUGAUGAUAUAGAUCAGGACACCUGUGAGUAAAAAAAACAAAAAAAACAGAAAGAGCACACUUUAGCAGAGAGGCAGCAAAGAUGGAGGACAAAGAGAUGUCACGGAUUUCAAGUUCGCUCCUGUCGACGCGCGAGAACGGUCUUCUCUUCAGUUUACUAAGCAAUGACUGUAGUGUGAGUUUACUUUUUUUUCUCUCAUCCCUUUAUCCUGUUUUUUUUAUAUAUAUCACCAGAUCUAAAUACCAUGUAUACAAUAAAGCAUACUGUGCACAACAAUUACUGUUAUUGUGCUUCCCGUAAUUCACUGUUAUUAGAGUGUGUUGUUUGAGAUAUGUGUCAUUCUGUGAAAUAAGUUUUUAUUCUUCAUACUAUUUGCUUCAGCUAAUAGUCAUAGGAACAUUUCUAUCUAUUUUUUCAAUUAACUUGAUGUUCAAAAAUAAUUUAUAUAAAAUAUAUAUAUACAAAUUUAAGCAAACAUAACUAAAACAACAACAUUAGUAAAAUUUUAACUGAAAUGAAUAUAGAAAUAUCAAAAUAUAUAAUAGUAUCUGAAUAAUACUAGAAUAACAGUGACUGGGACACCCAUACAUGCUCUUCAUGCUCUUUUGUCGAUUUAUCUGGAAUAAACCACCUGAUCCUAACCACUGAC